CGCGAAUCGCCCUUCGGGGUGCCCAGGCGCGAAACCUCUGCAAUAGGCGAAAGCCUGACAGGGUUACUCUGAGUGAUUUCCGUUAAGGAGAUCUUUUGGCACCUCUAAAAAUGGUGCAAAAUAAGGGGUGGGCAAGUCUGGUGUCAGCCGCCGCGGUAAUACCAGCACCCCGAGUGGUCGGGACGUUUAUUGGGCCUAAAGCAUCCGUAGCCGGUUCUACAAGUCUUCCGUUAAAUCCACCUGCUUAACAGAUGGGCUGCGGAAGAUACUAUAAAGCUAGGAGGCGGGAGAGGCAAGCGGUACUCAAUGGGUAGGGGUAAAAUCCGUUGAUCCAUUGAAGACCACCAGUGGCAAAGGCGGCUUGCCAGAACGCACUCGACGGUGAGGGAUGAAAGCUGGGGGAGCAAACCGGAUUAGAUACCCGGGUAGUCCCAGCUGUAAACGAUGCAAACUCGGUGAUGAGUUGGCUUUAUGCCAACUCAGUGCCGCACGGAAUCCGAUAAGUUUGCCGCCUGGGGAGUACGGUCUCAAGACUGAAACUUAAAGGAAUUGGCGGGGGAGCAC
rnacentral:rRNA from 1 species